GGAUAUAUAGCUCAGUUGGUAGAGUGCUUGCCUUGCAUGCACAUAGACCCUGGGUUCAAUCCCCAGCAUAUCUC
rnacentral:tRNA from 1 species